CAUGGGUCACGCGUGGUCAGAUGUUUGUUCUGGGAAGUUGGGUCUUCAGAGUAUGAGACUGUCACCUCUCCCCCUUUUCCAUGUUCUGGAGGCUUCUAACCCGCAAGACUUAAGGAGGCCCCAGCGCCCUGGAGGGCUGCUUCUCCCACCCCAGGCAUGUGCCUUCCUGGACUCAACCUGGUUGUAGGUGUGCAGUCCUCUCUCCUCUUUUGAAAGCCUGACUUUGCUCACACGGGUGGGUCUCGCGACAACCUUCUCUGUGAGACACUCUGCAGGUAACCCAGGUCUGUCUCCGUGGGGGGCUGUGGGCUGCUGCAGCAGAAAGACCAAUGUCCAGACUCUAAAGCACGGACGUUGGUGCUCAUUCACUGAGCAGGUUGGCAGGUGGCUGCCUCCAUUGGGAGGCCCCUCCUGGGGGUGCGUUCUCUGUGUCCUUCGCCCCUUCUGUCCCUGGAUCCAGUUGCAGGUUGGUAAGAAGCGUGGGGAAGGUACAGCCACUUCCCAAAUCCUGGACCAGGUGCUGGCCGGCCUCGCUGGCCCACGUCUCUGGGGAACUCAUCCCAGACUUGGCCAUCUCCCCAGAUGUCUGGCCAUUUCCAAGCUGGUUGUGCGUCAGAAUCACCAAGGUUCUCUGGAGACACGGACGCCUGGCCCCAGGCCCCACAGUGCUGCUUCACAGGCCCCAGGUAGGACCUGGGCGCCUGCAGGUAAAAAGGCCCGCAGGUCCAGCGGUCCCAGCCCCUACGCUUGGCCCCGGUUCUGCCCCAGGUCCAAGGAGAGGCAUCCACGGCCCAUGUGGAGACAGCGCCGUGGGUUCACUCCCCGCCUGGCUCCCGCAGGAUCUACGAGGGCCCCAGGGCAGAGUGGAGAGGACAUACCUGGCUUGGGAGACAGGAGCUGGGAGAUGUGAUGUCCCCGUCGGGAGGCACAAGCUGCUAAUUGCUUUGUUUUGCGUUACCAACAUCUGCGGGGAGACAGCAGAUGCCGCCACUUGCCCAGCCUGCUGUCCCCAGAGGUGACCACUCUGUGGCGUCCAGGGCUCUUGGCACAGAACCUGUCAGACCACAGCCAAGCACCCUGUCCGGCUGCCCCCAUGUCCUUGCUGCUAAGACAGUCGCGCCCACACGCUGCCCUGAGAAUGGGCACUGUGGUGACUGCCACUCCUUCCUGCAGCAGCACCAGGAGCAUACUUCUCUCUCCUUCUCGAAGAUUCCAGGCGGAACCUCUCAGCUCGGCGCCACAAAGUGAACGGCUCCACCAAGGUUUCUCUCUCUAAUUUUAAGGGCACCUUUCCCCCCAGGCUGCAGCUCUGGGCUCUCAGAGG
rnacentral:lncRNA from 1 species